rnacentral:tRNA from 1 species
GGAGAGAUGGCUCAGUGGUUAAGAGCACUGGCUGCUCUUCCAGAGGACCUGGGUUCAUAUCCCAGCACCC